CUCUUUGUUACCAAUCUUCACAGACUUCUCCUCGAGCACGAGGUCCUUUUGUUCCCUAUUGAGCUUGGUUAUCAGCACCACCGCGGAUAUGUUGGACAUGGGGGUGAUGGUGAGGUCAUCCAUGAUAGUGUAACUAACCAGGCCUUGCACGUGCCCGCCGCCGACUAUGAUAGACCCAUAGAGAGAGGAGUCACGUGCAACAUCUGCCGCCAUGCCCGUAGGCGCCAGCGCAUGUGCAGUUACUGAUGCAUACUGUAGUGGGUAAGAUGUCACCCCAUGAACAGAUGCCCGCAUGGAAGGUGCCGCUGGGUGUGUUGUGAUAGGGCGCUGAAGGAACAAGGGCCUACAUGAGCUCAAGAGCGCCUCUUGCACGAUCUUGCUGUGCAUGUACCUGGUAUCCAUUUUCUCGACACUAUCGUAGAUGUUGGCCACGCCGACCCCAUCACUUCCGGUCUGAAGUACCUUGGCUACAGUGCCUAUGGGUAUCGCUAGGAGGCUAAAGAGGAAGUCUACAACCUCCUUUCCGGCCUCCGCGUACAAGACGCGAUUGGCCUUCUUGUCGAUGAGCAGCUUAAGGGUCGGUGCGGACGGGGCCAAGUUGAUAGGGGCGGGAGGUGAAGACAUGAUUUUAUGUUGAAUGAUAAUUGGGAGCCCGCGGCCUCAUAUAUAUAAGGGAAAAUAUUAUGUAAUUAAUGCAUGUUGAUAACUUAAAAAAUUGCAAGAUAUUUGAUGACAUUUAUUAUACGAUUUUCACCACAUACAAAUAACGAAAGAAUUAAUAUGCAAUUAAUGCAUGUUAAUUGGUAAAUAAAAAAGGUAAUGAACGUAAUUUAUUAUACAAUCUUUACCUCACACAGAUAAGAAAAUAAUUAAUAUGUAUUUAAUGCAUGUUGAUAGUUCCUCCAAUCCUAAAUAUAAGUCUUUGUAGAGAUUACAAUAAAAACUACAUACGGAUGUAUAUAGACAUAUUUUAGAGUGUAGAUUCAUUCAUUUUGCUCCGUAUAUAGUCCAUAUUGAAAUCUCUAAAAAGAAUAUUUAGGAACGAAGGCAGUAAGUAAAUAUACAAAUAUUUUUAAAUGUAUUUAUCACAUAAUAUUCUCCUCAUACAAAUAAGGAAGGAAAUAAUACAUAAUUAAUGCAACAUGAUAAAUGAGGAAACAACACAAAUAAUUAAUGAUAUUUAUUGUAAAUAAUUUAUUCUAGAUUGUUUACAUUCUAAAUUUUUUAAAUUGUAUACAAAUUUAAAGUUGGCACACUUCAUCUUUUGUUUACAUUCUAAAAAUAAAAAUAACACUCCUUUCAUUCAAAAAUAUAAGAUGUUCUUUUUUUUCUAAAUCAAGUGCAUAUAGAUGUUUUAAAUUUCAAUAUGUUUGUUGUCCAUGUUGAAAUAUCCAAAACAUUUUAUAUUUGUGAAUAGAGCGAGUACAAACAGCUCGUAUUGAAAAUAGAAUAUGUCAAAAACAGAACAGCCUGUAAUGAUCUAGACAACUACAUACUUGUGCUACUCCAAAAAUUCUGAAAAAUUAGGAAAACAUAAGAAAUUUGUAUAUCAAUCAUCUGUAUAAAAUACAAGAAUUUAUCACGUUCUAGAAAAGCAGAUCAAUUGUGUUACUGAGCGCAAAAGUUUCUGUUUUUUCACAGAAUCAAAUCAACUAUCAUCCACACUAUCCCAAAGGCUUUAGUUGGCACUUUAUUAAAACAAAAGCUAUAAAACAAGAUUACUAUAGUGGCUUAAUCAUGUGAACACACAAAAACAGUAGGGGUAAAUGUUGGGUCGUCUCUCACAAGCGCUUUUCUUUAAUAUCUUUUUAGCUAGGCAUGAUGAUUUCAAUGAUGCUCGCAUAAAAGAUAAGAAUUGAAACAUAAAGAGAGCAUCAUGAAUCACAUGACAAGCACAUUUAAUUCUAACCCACUUCCUAUGCAUAGGGAUUUUGUGAGCAAACAACUUAUGGGAACAAGAAUCAACUAGCAUAGGAAGGCAAAACAAGCAUAGCAAUUGUAGAAGUGGCAACGGCAAAGUAACAUAGCAAAGAUCAAUAUGUGAAAAGCUCAUAGGCAAUGGAUCAAUGAUGGAUAAUUAUGUCGGAUGUCAUUCAUCAUGUAGCAGUCAUAACCUAGGGUGACACAGAACUAGCUCCAAUUCAUCAAUAUAACGUAGGCAUGUAUUCCGAAUAUAGUCAUACGUGCUUAUGGAAAAGAACUUGCAUGACAUCUUUUGUCCUACCCUCCCGUGGCAGUAGGGUCCUAAUGGAAACUAAGGGAUAUUAAGGCCCCCUUUUAAUAGAGAACCGGACCAAAUCAUUAGCACUUAGUGAAUACAUGAACUCCUCAAACUAUGGUAAUCACCGGAAAGAAUCCCAAUUAUUGUCACCUUGGGGUAUGCGGAUCAUAACUCGUAAUAGGUGUCUACAACUUGCAAGAUAGGAUCGAGAACACAAAUAUAUUCAUGAAAACAUAAUAGGUUCAGAUCUGAAAUCAGGGCACUUGGGCCCUAGUGACAAGCAUUAAGCAUAGCAACAUCAAUCUUAGAACAUAGUGGAUACUAGGGAUCAAACCCUAACAAAACUAACUCGAUUACAUGAUAAAUCUCAUUCAACCCAUCACCGUCCAGCAAGCCUACGAUGGAAUUACUCAAUUACGGUGGUGAGCAUCAUGAAAUUGGUGAUGGAGGAAGGUUGGUGAUGAUGAUGGCGUCGAUUUCCCCUCUCUGGAGCCCCGAACGGACUCCAGAUAUGCCCUCUCGAUAAAGAACAGGAGGUGGCGGCGGCUCCGUAUCGUAAAACGCGAUGAAUCCUUCUCUGUGGGUUUUUUCCUCCCUGAACAUGAAUAUAUGGAGUUGGAGUUGAGGUCGGUGGAGGUCCAGGGGACCCACAAGGCAGGGGGCGCGCCCUAGGGGGCACCCUCCACCCUUGUGGAUAGCCGGUGGGUCCCCUCCGGUUGUUUCUUCUGCCAAUAAUUUUUAUUUAUUCCAAAAAUAUUCUCCGUGGAUUUUUAUGUCAUUUCGAGAACUUUUAUUUCUGCAAAAAAAUAACACCAAGGCAAUUUUGCUGAAAAUAGCGCCAGUCCGGGUUAGUUCCAUUCAAAUCAUGCAAAUUAGAGUCCAAAACAAGGGCAAAAGAGUUUGGAAAAGUAGAUACGGCGGAGACAUAUCAGGAGCAAACUGAACAAAAUAACUAUUAUGGGAUACUUGAUUGGCAUGAUCAAUUUGAGCAUAAAAAUCAUGAUGACAAGUUUCAUGGAUAUCAAUACUCUUUAUAGCAUACAUGUCAUCACCAUAAUCAUCAUAGCUAGGAACUUUGUUGUCAUAGUCAAUUAGAACCUCUUCCAAAAUAGUGGAUUCAUCAUUAAAUAAGGUCAUGACCUUUCCAAAUCCACUUUCAUAAAUAUUACAAUAAGAUCCAACACGCUCCCAAAUAGUGGGAUCAUUAGUACAUUGAGUUGACACUCUUCCAAACCCACUUUCAUCAAUAUAAUCAUCAUAAAUAGGAGGCAUGCUAUCAUCAUAAUAAAUUUUCUCACCAAAACUUGGGGGACUAAAAAUAUCAUCUUCAUCAAAUAUAACAUCCCCAAGCUUAUGGCUUUGCAUAUCAUUAGCAUCAUGGAUAUUCAAAGAAUUCAUACCAACAACAUUGCAAUGCUCAUCAUUCAAAGAUUUUUUGUCAAACAUUUAAUAGAAUUAAUCUUCUAUCAAUUGAGCACAAUUUUCCUUUCCAUCAUUUUCACGAAAGACAUUAUAAAGAUGAACAAUAUGAUGCAACCUCAAUUCCAUUUUUCUGUAGUUUUGAUUUUAUAAACCAAACUAGUGAAAAAAACAAGAAACUAAAACAUUCAAUUGCAAGAUCUAAAGAUAUACCUUCAAGCACUCACCUCCCAGGUAACCGCACCAUAAAAGAGCUUGAUGUCUACUACAUAAGUUGUUCCUGUAGACUUGUGUUGGGCCUCCGAGCGCAGAGUUUUGUAGGACAGUAACAAUUUUUCCUCAAGUGGAUGACCUAAGGUUUAUCAAUCCGUGGCAGACAUGGGAUGAAGAUGGUCUCUCUCAAACAACCCUACAACCAAAUAAUAAAAAGUCUCGUGUCCCCAACACACCAAAUAUAAUGCUAAAUUGUAUAGCUGCACUAGUUCGGCGAAGAGAUUGUGAUAAAAGUGUAGUAAUAAUUGUAGAUAUUGAUUUUUGUAAUAGGAACAAUAAAAACAACAAGGUAGCAAUUGAUAAAACGGAGCACAAACGGUAUUGCAAUGCUUGAAAAUGAGGCCUAGGGUUUGUACUUCCGCUAGUGCAAUCUCUCAACAAUGCUAAUAUGAUUGGAUUAUAUAACCAUCCCUCAACGUGCGAUGAAGAAUCACUCCAAAGUUCUUAUCUAGCUGAGAACAUAAGAAGAAAUUGGUUGUAGGGUACGAAACCACCUCAAAGUUAUUCUUUCCGAUCAAUCUAUCCUAGAGUUCGUACUAAAAUAACACCAAGCCAUUCUUUCCGAUCGAUCUAACCAAGAGUUCAUACUAAAAUAACACCAUAUGAUACACAUCAGCCAACUUUAAUGUCACCUAGAUAUAUACUCCAAUGUCACCGCGAGUAUCCAUGAGUUGAUUAUAUGAUAUGCAUCAGACAAUUUCAGAUGCAUAAUACUCAAUCCAACACAAAGAACCUCAAAGAGUGCCCCAAGAUUUCUACCGGAGAAACAAAGACGAGAACGUGCAUCAACCAUAUGCAUAGAUUACCCCAAUGUCACCUCAGGAAUCCGUGAGUUGAGUGCCAAAACACAUAUCAAGUGAAUCAAUAUGAUACCCCAUUGUCACCACAGGUAUUCAUAGCAAGACAUACAUCAAGUAUUCUCCAAUCCAUAAAAGUAUUCAAUCCAAUAAAAACGAAAUCUCAAAGGAAAAACUCAAUUCAUCACAACAAGAUAGAGAGGGGAAAACACCAUAUGAUCCAACUAUAUUAACAAAGCCCGCGAUACAUGAACAUCGUGCCAUCUCAAGAACACGAGAGAGAGAGAGAGAGAGAGAGAGAGAGAGAGAGAGGGAGAUUAAACACGUAGUUACUGGUACAAACCCUCAGCCCCGAGGGUGGACUACUCCCUCCUCGUCAUGGUGGCCGCCGGGAUGAUGAAGAUGGCCACCGGUGAUGAUUUCCCCCUCCGGCAGGGUGCCGGAACGGGGUCUACAUUGUUUCUUCGUGGCUACAGAGGCUUGUGACGGCUGAACUUCUAAUCUAUCGACUCCCCUAGGGUUUUUGGAAUAUUUGGCAAUUUAUAGGGUGAAGAGGCUGUGUGGGAGGCCACCGAGGUGGGCACAACCCACUUGGGCGCGCCCUGGUGGGUUGUGCUCCCCUCGGAGCCCCCUCUAGUAAUUCUUUGGCCCACCGGGUGUCUUCUGGUUUAGAGAAUUCUUUAAAAAGUUUCACUGCGUUUGGACUCCAUUUGGUAUUGAUUUUCUGCGAAGUAAAAAACAAGCUAAAAUAGCAAGUGGCAUUGGGCACUAUGUCAAUAGGUUAGUCUGAAAAAUGAUAUAAAGUUGCUAUAAAAUGAUUGUAAAACAACCAAGAAUGAUAAUAUAACAGCAUGGAACAAGCAAAAAUUAUAGAUAUGUUGGAGAUGUAUCAGGGUCCCACCUAUCACGGGGAGGAAUAAUUUUUUCCGCGUAACAAGGAAGCAGUUGCAUGAGUCCGUCCAUGGACCUGGUGCAUCUGUACUCUCAGUCUCUCCACGUACAAUCCUCUUUUGAUGACUUUGUUGACCACGCCGCGCCGAGCGCACCAAGGCGGUGGACGACGGCGAGUCCCCGGAUGGGAACGAACGGGAGAUGGGAAGACGCAACAGUGGAGUCACAGACGGAGAGGAGUACGAGGGUUAACUGGUUCUGGUGCGGCGUGGGGCUGCAGUCGGUGAAGAACAACAGGAUGUAGAGGGAUGGCUUGCCGGCGGUAGGGUAACGCCUCGCAGCGAGGCAUGCUAAGCAGAGCCGCUAGCCGCCGAAAGCGGGAGCUGGUGGUCCCGACGGCGCUGGUGGAAGUAGAUGAGAGAUUGAAGAUGCAUGCCGGCUGUUGGAUGUAAAUCCAAUGGCUGUGGAUGUUAGAAUCAUUUAUUGACUAAAUUGAUAACGCCUUGCGUAGGCUUCAACAUAUUGGCCCACAUGUUAGCCUAAAAAAAUGUGGCACAUAUUCAACCCAUUUUUUUUAAAUACAGUCCUUUGAUGUGCUGGGUGAACAAAUAAUAUAGCGUCUAUGCAGCUCAUUUAAUAUAUUUUUUGAGAAAUCAUAACUCAUUUGCACUUUCUUUAAAUACACCAAUUUACUGGGUUGCUUGUAAAUAUAAUGUUGAGUUGGACGGAACAAUGUUCUUCUCUUUCUCUGUUUCUGCAGGUGAGCGCUUAGCCAUGGCAUGAUCUCGCCACUUCUCCCAGCGACGUAGCUCGGUUGUCUGCAAUUCUGUAGUUCCCUUUCUUCUCUAAGAUUUCUUACCCUUUGCUCCACGUCACUAAAUUCCAAGUACAUGCCAUCUUUUACAGAGUACAGGCACACAUAGUGUUGCACUUUCCCUUAGCACUAUUGUUUUUCUUUUCGUAUGCUUCGGUGAAGCUGUGGCACGUCGGGAGCAUUAUCUAUUAUGGAAGGGAAACAUUUCCCUCCUGACGACCGGCCGAGCGCUCGGCCGAUCUCGCUUGGUGGGCCUCAGCAAGACACCCUUUCCUUAUAUCUUCCACACCGCACCUUUUUCUUUCUUUUCUUUUGCUUCUUCCUAUCGCUGCUUCUUCCUCUCACCUUAUGCACUGCAGGGUGAGCUCGUCAGCACCAACGGCGUGACCUCCUCCUGCUUCUGCGAGUAGCUCCGACCGCCACCGCUGCAAGCAUCUCCUGCCCACGCACCUCAAACUGCACCCCCAUCAAUGCUACAACAGAUCUUUUGACGGAUCGCUGACAUUUUUCCCCUGGGCACCUUCCCCCUCUCCUCGCAGCACCUUCCCCUGCCAUGGUUACUGAACGAUGGCGAUAAGAUGCAUCUUACGAGAUGGUGCACAACCGCAACACAUACAGGGGUGCUUGUUGGGAAGGUUUUCUCCUGGGAACCAACAUGUUGUUUUGCUGCAACCAGGAAAUCCAGAGCUGGAAUCAGCGUGUAGUUUUGCUUCAUUGUCUGAGUGUUUUUUGCGGCGACGAUGGCGGAUGUCCCCAUUUUUUGCAACCAACAAAUGCAAAACCUUUUAUCGGCAAGAUUUUUUGCUAUCACGGCGACCGGCGCAAGUAGCGAUCAGGAGGCGGUUUGCAGCAAACGGUCUGUUGCGGGCGAAGCCUGAGUUGGAACUAGCUUUGCGUUUUGCUACAACCGGCAAAUCGAGAGCUAGAACCCGCAACCAUUUUUGCGGCAUCAUCGGAGUGCUUUUCUGCGACGACGACGGUGAGCGCAUGAUUUGUUGCAACCAGCAAAGGCAAUAGCUUCUACCGGAGAGCUUUUUUGCUACCAUGGCGAUCACAGAAGUAGCAACUAGGAGGUUUUUCUUUGAGAAAAACAAUUUGUUCUGGGCAAAGCCAGGGCUGGAAACAGCAUCUUGGUUUGCGACAACCGGCAAAUUCAGAGCUAGAGCCAGCAUCUAAGUUUGCUGCAUUUGUUUUUAGUGUUUUCUGCGGUGGCGACGGCGGACGACCUCAUUUGUUGCAACCGCCAAAGCUAAAAGCUUCUGCCGGUGAGAUUUUUUGCUAUGCUGGAGCGACGCCGGACGAUGGUGACCAUGAACGACUUCUGAUGGUGAGGAUGAGCUAUAAAAGCGAUGGGGGUUGCCAUGGGGCGGCUGGAUGCGGCGGCCAUAGACGCAGGGACUUCGCCGCCCGCACUGGGAUGGGGGGACGAGCGCAUGGUGCUGCGACCGAAGGAGACGAUGAUGCACCGCACUGCGGUGUCUUGUUGGAGACGCGAGGUGCUGGUCCACGGAGGGCUGACCAGGGGCGGGGGCUGUUGGGGGUGAUGGAGUUUGCGAGAGGAGAGGGACGACCCCAAGGACCCACUGUGGGGCGCGGGGGAGAGCGGCGGCCACCAUGGGGGGGCAUCGAGCGGACAGGAAUAGUAGAACGGGGGAAGGAAGAAGGCGACCUGGAUGGGUGAGAGGAUCUAAUGGCUCGGGGUGGCCAAAUUUGACGGCUGAGGUGCGACCGACCCAAACUUUGGGCCGGCGCGCCGGUGCCUAUACCUCACGAAGGCAAAAGCUUCUACCGGAGAGCUUUUUUGCUACCAUGGCGAUCACAGAAGUAGCGACCAGGAGGUUUUUCUUUGAGAAAAACACUUUGAUGAACAUGUGUCAAUACAUAGACAAACAGAGUGUCCCUAGUACAUGUGUGAAUACAUAGACAAACAGAGUGUCCCUAGUAUGCCUCUACUUGACUAGCUCGUUAAUCAAAGAUGGUUAAGUUUCCUGACCAUAGACAUGUGUUGUCAUUUGAUGAACGGGAUCACAUCAUUAGAGAAUGAUGUGAUGGACAAGACCAUCCGUUAGCUUAGCAUUAUGAUCGUUUAGUUUUAUUGAUAUUGCUUUCUUCAUGACUUAUACAUAUUCCUCUCACUAUGAUAUUGUGCAACUCCCGAAUACCGGAGGAACACUUUGUGUGCUAUCAAACGUCACAACGUAACUGGGUGUUUAUAAAAAAGCUCUACAGGUGUCUUCGAUGGUGUUUGUUGAGUUGGCAUAGAUCAAGAUUAGGAUUUGUCACUCCGAGUAUCGGAGAGGUAUCUCUGGGCCCUCUUGGUAAUGCACAUCACUAUAAGCCUUGCAAGCAAUGUGACUAAUGAGUUAGUUACGGGAUGAUGCAUUAUGGAACGAGUAAAGAGACUUGCCGGUAAUGAGAUUGAACUAGGUAUGAUGAUACCGACGAUCGAAUCUCGGGCAAGUAACAUACCGAUGACAAAGGGAAUGACGGUUGUUAUGCGGUUUAACCGAUAAAGAUCUUCGUAGAAUAUGUAGGAGCCAAUAUGAGCAUUCAGGUUCCGCUAUUGGUUAUUGACCGGAGAUGUGUCUCAGUCAUGUCUACGUAGUUCUCGAACCCGUAGGGUCCGCACGCUUAAGGUUCGAGUUAUGUGAUUCGAUGACAUGACGAGGAGUCUCGAAAUGGUUGAGAGGUAAAGAUUGAUAUAUCGGAAGGUUAUAUAUGGACACCGGAAUGGUUCCGAUAAGGUUCGGGGAUUUUUGGAGUACCGGGAGGCUACCGGCACCCCCCGGGAAAGUUAUUGAGCCUAAUGGGCCUUAGUGGAGUAGAGGAGAAAGGCCACAGGAGGUGGGGCGUGCCCCCCUUGCCCCAAUCCGAAUUGGACAAGGGAAGGAGGCGUAGCCCCCCACUUUCCUUCGCCCUCUCUCUACCUUCCCCUUUCCUCCUCUCCGCUGGAACGAAAGGGGGGACGAAUCCUACUAGGAAUGGAGUCCUAGUAGGACCCCCCCCCCCAUGGCGCACCCCCCUUGGCCGGCCACCUCCUCCUCCCCCCUCUUUAUAUACGGAGGCGGGGGGCACCCCAAAGACACAACAGACAAUCUCUUAGCCAUGUGCGGUGCCCCCCUCCGCAGUUUAACACCUCGGUAAUUGAUACGUCUCCAACAUAUCUAUAAUUUUUGAUCGCUCCAUGCUAUUAUAUAUUUUGUUUUGGAUGUUUAAUGGUCUUAUUUAUACACUUUAUAUUAUUUUUGGGACUAACCUAUUAACCCAAGGCCCAGUGCAAAUUGCUGUUUUUUUGCCUAUUUCAGUGUUUCGCAGAAAAGGAAUAUCAAACGGAGUCCGAACGGAAUGAAACCUUCGGGAGAGUUAUUUUUGGAACAAACGUGAUCCAGAGGACUUGGAGUGGACGUCAAGUAAUCAACGAGGAGGCCACGAGGAAGGAGGGCGUGCCUACCCCCUGGGCGCGCCCUCCACCCUCGUGGGCCCCUCGUGGCUCCACCGACCUACUUCUUCCUCCUAUAUAUACCUAUGUACCCCGAAACCAUCCAGGAGCAACACGAAAACCUAAUUCCACUGCCGCAACCUUCUGUACCCGUGAGAUCCCAUCUUGGGGCCUUUUCCGGCGCUCUGCCGGAGGGGGAAUCGAUCAGGGAGGGCUUCUACAUCAACACCAUAGCCUCUCCGAUGAUGUGUGAGUAGUUUACCACAGACCUUCAGGUCCAUAGUUAUUAGCUAGAUGGCUUCUUCUCUCUCUUUGGAUCUCAGUACAAAGUUCUCCUCGAUCUUCUUGGAGAUCUAUUCGAUGUAACUCUUUUUGGGGUGUGUUUGUCGAGAUCCGAUGAAUUGUGGGUUUAUGAUCAAGAUUAUCUAUGAACAAUAUUUUGAAUCUUCUCUGAAUUCUUUUAUGUAUGAUUGGUUAUCUUUAUAAGUCUCUUCGUAUUAUCAGUUUGGUUUGGCCUACUAGAUUGAUCUUUCUUGCAAUGGUAGAAGUGCUUAGCUUUGGGUUCAAGUGGCCGUGAAGGGAUUGACAACCCCUUUAUCGCGUUGGUUGCAAGGUUCUUAUUUGUUUGUGUUGGUAUUAGGGACUUGCGUGUGGCCUUCUACUGGAUUGAUACCUUGGUUCUCAAAAACUGAGGGAAAUACUUACGCUACUUUGCUGCAUCACCCUUUCCUCUUCAAGGGAAAAACCAACGCAUGCUCAAGAGGUAGCAAGAAGGAUUUCUAGCGUCGUUGCCGGGGAGUCUACGCACAAGCCAAGACAUACCAAGUACCCAUCACAAAAUCUUAUCCCUCGCAUUACAUUAUUUGCCAUUUGCCUCUCGUUUUCCUCUCCCCCACUUCACCCUUGCCAUUUUAUUCGCCCUCUCUUUUCGUUCGCCCCUUUUUCGCUUACUUCUUGUUGCAUGUAUGGCCCUGCCUAAAAACUUUGAUCCUUACAUUAAAAGGUUGGGAGAAAUUGAAAACAACGUCAGAAGCUUUAUGACUUUGCAAUUUGAGCAUAAUAAUUUCUUUAGAAAUGAGCUUGGAGAACAAAAAAGCUUUAUGGAGUACAUGAAUAAAGAGCUUGAUGAUAUAUAUAAGGAAUUUUAUGGCUUGAGAUCUUAGUUUGCUCAUCUUGAAAAAUUAAUAGCCCAAAUUUCGGAUAAGCAGGCCACCUUAGUCAAUAAUAUGGCUGCUAAACCGGAAGAUUUAGAAGGUAAUAAGGAUGAAGAUCUAAAAGUGAUUGAUGUGUCCCCUAUUAAAUCUUUGUUUUGCAAUUUGAAUCUUGAUAAUUAUGGGACUGGAGAUGAGUCAACUUUAGUUAAAAGGCGUCCCAAUGAUUCGGAGUUUUUAGACCUUGAUACAAAAUUUGGUAAAAGUGGGAUUGAAGAGGUCAAAACUUUAGACAGCAAUGAACCCAAUAUCUUGGAUUUCAAGGAAUUUAAUUAUGAUAAUUUUUCUUUAAUAGAUUGUAUUUCCUUGUUGCAAUCCGUGCUAAAUUCUCCGCAUGCUUAUAGUCAAAAUAAGGCUUUUACUAAACAUAUCGUUGAUGCUUUAAUGCAAUCUUAUGAACAAAAACUUGAAUUGGAAGUUUCUAUCCCUAGAAAACUUUAUGAUGAGUGGGAACCUACUAUUAAAAUUAAAAUUAAAGAUCAUGAAUGCUAUGCUUUGUGUGAUUUGGGUGCUAGUGGUUCCACUAUUCCAAAAACUUUGUGUGACUUGUUGGGUUUCCGUGAAUUUGAUGAUUGUUUUUUAAACUUGCACCUUGCGGAUUCCACCAUUAAGAAACCUAUGGGAAGAAAUAAUGAUGUUCUUAUUGUUGCAAAUAGGAAUUAUGUGCCCGUAGAUUUCAUUGUUCUUGAUAUAGAUUGCAAUCCUUCAUGUCCUAUUAUUCUUGGUAGACCUUUCCUUAGAACGAUUGGUGCAAUUAUUGAUAUGAAGGAAGGGAAUAUUAGAUUCCAAUUUCCGUUAAGGAAAGGCAUGGAACACUUUCCUAUAAAUAAAAUUAAAUUACCUUAUGAAUCUAUUAUGAGAGCCACUUAUGGAUUGCCUGCCAAAGAUGGCAAUACCUAGAUCUAUCCUUGCCUUUAUGCCUAGCUAAGGGCGUUAAACGAUAGCGCUUGUUGGGAGGCAACCCAAUUUUAUUUUUGUUUCUUGCUUUUUCGUUUUGUUUAGGAAUAAAUAAUCCAUCUAGCUUCUGGUUACAUGUGUUUUUGUGUUUUAUUUAGUGUUUGUGCCAAGUACAACCUUUGGGAAGACUUGGGUGAAGUUUUUUGAUCUUGCUGUAAAAAACAGAAACUUUAGCCCUCACGAGAUUAACUACAACUUUUUACUGGAGAUCGAUAUUUAGUUGAUUAUUUUUGCAGAUGAUUAAUAGAUAAAUUCCUCACGGCCAGAAAUUUAUUUUAGAAUUUUUGGAGUUCCAGAAGUUUGCAUUAGGUACAGAUUACUACAGACUGUUCUGUUUUUGACAGAUUCUGUUUUUCGUGUGUUGUUUGCUUAUUUUGAUUAAUCUAUGGCUAGUAAUGGAGUUUAUAAACCAUAGAGAAGUUGGAAUACAGUAGGUUUAACACCAAUAUAAAUAAAUAAUGAGUUCAUUACAGUACCUUGAAGUGGUGUUUUGUUUUCUUUCGCUAACGGAGCUCACGAGAUUUUCUGUUAAGUUUUGUGUUGUGAAGUCUUCAAGUUUUGGGUAAAGAUUUGAUGGAUUAUGGAAAAAGGAGUGGCAAGAGCCUAAGCUUGGGGAUGUCCAAGGCACCCCAAGGUAAAAUUUAAGGACAACCCAAAAGCCUAAGCUUGGGGAUGCCCCGGAAGGCAUCCCCUCUUUUGUCUUCAUCCAUCGGUAACUUUACUUGGAGCUAUAUUUUUAUUCACCACAUGAUAUGUGUUUUGCUUGGAGCGUCUUGUAUGAUUUGAGUAUUUGCCUUUUAGUUCACCACAAUCAUCCUUGCUGUACAUACCUUUUGAGAGAGACACACAUUAUUCGGAAUUUAUUAGAAUACUCUUUGUGCUUCACUUAUAUCUUUUGAGCUAAACAAUUUUGCUCUAGCGCUUCACUUAUAUCUUUUAGAGCGCGGUGGUGGUUAUAUUUUAUAGAAAUUAUUGAUAUUUCAUGCUUCACUUAUAUUAUUUUGAGAGUCUUUUAGAACAGCAUGGUAAUUUGCGUUGGUUAUAAAUUUAGUCCUAAUAUGAUAGGCAUCCAAGAUAAAAACUAUUAAGUGCAUUGAAUACUGAGAUAAGUUAGAUACUUGAUUAUUGUUUUGAGAUAGGAAGAUGGUGAUAUUAGAGUCAUGCUAGUAGAGUAGUUGUGAAUUUGAGAAAUACUUGUUGUAAAGUUUGUGAUUCCCGUAGCAUGCACGUAUGGUGAACCGUUAUGUGAUGAAGUCGGAGCAUGAUUUAUUUAUUGAUUGUCUUCCUUAUGAGUGGCGGUCGGGGACGAGCGGUGGUCUUUUCCUACCAAUCUAUCCCCCUAGGAGCAUGCGCUUAGUACUUUGUUUCGAUAACUAAUAGAUUUUUGCAAUAAGUAUGUGAGUUCUUUAUGACUAAUGUUGAGUCCAUGGAUCAUACGCACUCUCACCCUUCCACCAUUGCUAGCCUCUCUAAAUACCGCGCACCUUUCGCCGGUAUAAUAUACCCACCAUAUACCUUCCUCAAGACAGCCACCAUACCUACCUAUUAUGGUAUUUCCAUAGCCAUUCCGAGAUAUAUUGCCAUGCAACUUACCACUGUUCCAUUUAUUAUGACACGCUUCAUCGUUGUCAUAUUGCUUUGCAUGAUCAUGUAGUUGACAUCGUAUUUGUGGCAAAGCCACCUUUAUAAUUCCUUCAUACAUGUCACUCUUGAUUCAUUGCAUAUUCCGAUACACCGCCGGAGGCAUUCACAUAGAGUCAUAUUUGUUCUAAGUAUCGAGUUGUAAUUCUUGAGUUCUAAGUAAAUAAAAGUGUGAUGAUCAUCAUUAUUAGAACAUUGUCCCAUGUGAGGAAAGGAUGACGGAGACUAUGAUUCCCCAUAAGUCGGGAUGAGACUCCGGAAGAAAAAAAACAAAACAAAAAAGAGGCCAAAAAAGAGGGGAAGGACCCCAAAAAAUGAUGAGAGAAAAAGAGAGAAGGGACAAUGUUACUAUCCUUUUUCCACACUUGUCCUUCAAAGUAGCACCAUGAUCUUCAUGAUAGAGAUUCUCCUAUGUUGUCACUUUCAUAUACUAGUGGGAAUCUUUCAUUAUAGAACUUGGCUUGUAUAUUCCAAUGAUGGGCUUCCUCAAAAUGCCCUAGGUAUUCGUGAGCAAGCGAGUUGGAUGCACACCCACUUAGUUUCUUUUGUUGAGCUUUCAUACACUUAUAGCUCUAGUGCAUCUGUUGCAUGGCAAUCCCUACUCACUCACAUUGAUAUCUAUUGAUGGGCAUCUCCAUAGCCCAUUGAUACGCCUAGUAAAUGUGAGACUAUCUUCUCCUUUUUGCCUUCUCCACAACCACCAGUCUAUUCCACCUAUAGUGCUAUAUCCAUGGCUCACGCUCAUGUAUUGCGUGAAGAUUGAAAAGGUUUGAGAACAUCAAAAGUACGAAACAGUUGCUUGGCUUCUCAUCGGGGUUGUGCAUGAUUUAAAUACUUUGUGUCGUGAAGUUAGAGCAUAGCCAGACUAUAUGAUUUUGUAGGGAUAACUUUCUUUGGCCAUGUUAUUUUGAGAAGACAUGAUUGCUUUGUUAGUAUGCUUGAAAUAUUAUUAUUUUCAUGUCAAUAUUAAAUGUUUAUCUUGAAUCUUUCGGAUCUGAACAUUCAUGCCACAAUGAAGAGAAAUGCAUUGAAGAAUAUGCUAAGUAGCAUUCCACAUCAAAAAAUUUGUUUUUAUCAUUUACAUACUCGAGGACGAGCAGGAAUUAAGCUUGGGAUGCUUGAUACGUGUCCAACGUAUCUAUAAUUUUUUAUUGCUCCGUGCUAUUAUAUAUUCUUUUUUGGAUGUUUAAUGGGAUUAUUUAUACACUUUUAUAUUAUUUUUGGGACUAACCUAUUAACCCAAGGCCCAGUGCAAAUUGCUGUUUUUUUGCCUAUUUCAGUUUUCGCAGAAAAGGAAUAUCAAACGGAGUCCAAACGGAAUGAAACCUUCGGGAGAGUUAUUUUUGGAAAAAACAUGAUCCAGAGGACUUGGAGUGGACAUCAAGUAAUCAACAAAGAGGCCACGAGGCAGGGGGCGCGCCUACCCCCCGGGCGCGCCCUCCACCCUCGUGGGCCCCUCGUGGCUCCACCAACCUACUUCUUCCUCCUAUAUAUACCUACGUACCCCGAAACCAUCCAGGAGCACCACGAAAACCUAAUUUCACCGCCGCAACCUUCUGUACCCGUGAGAUCCCAUCUUGGGGCCUUUUCCGGUGCUCUGCCGGAGGGGGAAUCGACACGGAGGGCUUCUACAUCAACACCAUAGCCUCUCCGAUGAUGUGUGAGUAGUUUACCACAGACCUUCGGGUCCAUAGUUAUUAGCUAGAUGGCUUCUUCUCUCUCUUUGGAUCUCAAUACAAAGUUCUCCUCAAUCUUCUUGGAGAUCUAUUCGAUGUAACUCUUUUUGCGGUGUGUUUGUCGAGAUCCGAUGAAUUGUGGGUUUAUGAUCAAGAUUAUCUAUGAACAAUAUUUUGAAUCUUCUCUGAAUUCUUUUAUGUAUGGUUUGUUAUCUUUGUAAGUCUCUUCGAAUUAUCAGUUUGGUUUGGCCUACUAGAUUGAUCUUUCUUGCAAUGGGAGAAGUGCUUAGCUUUGGGUUCAAUCUUGCGUUGCUUGAUCCCAGCGACAGUAGGGGAAACGACACGUAUUGUAUUGUUGCCAUCGAGGAUAAAAAGAUGGGGUUUAUAUCAUAUUGCUUGAGUUUAUCCCUCUACAUCAUGUCAUCUUGCCUAAUGCGUUACUCUGUUCUUAUGAACUUAAUACUCUAGAUGCAUGCUGGAUAGCGGUCGAUGUGUGGAGUAAUAGUAGUAGAUGCAGGCAGGAGUCGGUCUACUUGUUGCGGACGUGAUGCCUAUAUACAUGAUCAUGCCUAGAUAUUCUCAUAAUUAUGCACUUUUCUAUCAAUUGCUCGACAGAAAUUUGUUCACCCACCGUAAUACUUAUGCUAUCUUGAGAGAAGCCACUAGUGAAACCUAUGGCCCCCGGGUCUACUUUCCAUCAUAUAAGUUUCCAAUCUAUUUUUACUUUGAAAUCUUUACUUUCAAUCUUUAUCAUAAAAAUACCAAAAAUAUUAUCAUCUCUAUCAGAUCUCACUUUUGCAAGUGGCCGUGAAGGGAUUGACAACCCCUUUACCGCAUUGGCUGCAAGGUUCUUAUUUGUUUGUGUAGGUAUUAGGGACUUGCGUGUGGCCUCCUACUUGAUUGAUACCUUGGUUCUCAAAAAAUGAGGGAAAUACUUACGCUACUUUGAUGCAUCACCCUUUCCUCUUCAAGGGAAAAACCAACGCAUGCUCAAGAGGUGCAAGAAGGAUUUCUAGCGCUGUUGCCGGGGAGUCUACGCACAAGUCAAGACAUACCAAGUACCCAUCACAAACUCUUAUCCCUCGCAUUACAUUAUUUGCCAUUUGCCUCUCGUUUUCCUCUCCCGCACUUCACCCUUGCCGUUUUAUUCGCCCUCUCUUUUCGUUUGCCCCUUUUUCGCUUACUUCUUGUUGCCUGUAUGGCCCUGCCAAAAAACGUUGAUCCUUACCUUAAAAGGUUGGGAGAGAUUGAAAACAACGUCAGAAUGUUUAUCAUAAAAAUACCAAAAAUAUUAUCAUCUCUAUCAGAUCUCACAUUUGCAAGUGGCCGUGAAGGGAUUGACAACCCCUUUAUCAUGUUGGUUGCAAGGUUCUUAUUUGUUUGUGUAGGUAUGAGGGACUUGCGUGUGGCCUCCUACUGGAUUGAUACCUUGGUUCUCAAAAAUUGAGGGAAAUACUUAUGCUACUUUGCUACAUCACACUUUCCUCUUCAAGGGAAAAACCAACGCAUGCUCAAGAGGUAGCAGUAAUGUCAUCGUACUGCUUAGGCGAAGCCCUGCGCCGGUAACUUCAUCAUCACUGUUGCCACACCGUCGUGCUGACGGAAAUCUCCCUCGUCCUCAACUGGAUCAAGAGCUCGAGGGACGUCAUCGUGCUGAACGUGUGCUGAACACGGAGGUGCCGUAUGUUCUGUUUACUUGACACAGACGUGAUGCCUAUAUACAUGAUCAUUGCAUUAGAUAUCAUCAUAACUUUGCGCUUUUCUAUCAAUUGCUCGGCAGUAAUUUGUUCACCCACCAUAAUAAAUUCUUUCUUGAGAGAAGCCUCUAGUGAAACCUAUGGCCCCUGGGUCUAUUUUACAACAUAUUAGUUUCCCAUCAACUUGCCAAUUUCUGUCGCCGUUCCCUUACUUUGCAAUCUUUUACUUUCCGUUCCAUAAACCAAAAAUACCAAAAAUAUUACUUUACCAUUUAUCCAUCUCUAUCAGAUCUCACUUUGCGAAUAACCGUGAAGGGAUUGACAACCCCUUUGUCGCGUUGGUUGCAAGUUGGUUUUUGUUUGUGCGGGUAUUUGGUGGCUUGUCGCGUUAUCUCCUACUGGAUUGAUAACUUGGUUCUCAAAACUGAGGGAAAUACUUACACUACUUUGCUGCAUCACCCUUUCCUCUUCAAGGGAAAAACCAACGCAAGCUCAAGAGGUAGCAGUUUGUAGCACAAGUCAUGCCGAAAUUCAUGGAAAAUUUUGGCAUGACCUUUGAUACAAACUGGACAAAUAGAGCGCCUAAAAUUUGUCGAAACGGAAAUGAAUCAACAUUCCGGCAAAACAUAGGCCACUCGGAAUCAUUGCCUGCAAACAACAAAAGGCCACUUGGGCACAAUCGAACCACUUCAAUGUUGCAUAUAACAGGACCACUUAAGAACCUGUACAUGAGCAACUACAACAGUAGAUAUACUUGAGAAAACACUAUUAAGGAAUUUGCAUAUAACCUGACCACUUCAAAUUUGCAUCUACUAGUGUUUGACACUUCAAGAAAAUCUACACAAAUAUCAUGCUCUCUCAAACUCAAUUCAAAAACUAAAUAUAGAUGGAUGAACCCUAGAAACCUAGAACCUUUACAUAUUUCUGUCCUAAUAAAAUCUAUGUCCUAAUAUAAAUUAUGAACCCUAGAACUCAAUUUUUGUCCUAAAUUUCAAAUUAUGAACCCUAGAACUCAAUUCAAAUUAUGUCCUAAAUUUCUGUCAUAAUAAAAAAUUAGUACAAAUUAAGAACCUACCAGACUUGUAGCACUAACAGAAAUUUAUAUUUUUAUAUUGAAUUUUUUUCUCUAAACUAAACACUACUGCCCUAAUUAACAUCUAAUUCAAAAACUAAGUUAGAAGAAAAUUCAGUUAACUACUAAUAGAACAAAAUUCAGUUAACUUUAGUGCUCUAUAAUGAUGAAAUGAAAAAAAUUGAGUUAACUACUAAUUUCAUUCAUUUAGGUCACUCAUUUAACUUCACCUAAUUAACCUACUGUACCACUACUACUAGCAGCUCUACUAACCUAAUUAACCGAGUAAAACCCUACUACCCUAACUAAAAAACAGCUAAUUAACAUCUACUAGUACCACUACUACCCUAACCUAAUUAACAUCUACUAGUACCACUAUAUGUAGGAGAUAUGCCCUAGAGGCAAUAAUAAAUGAUAUUAUUUAUCUCCGAGUUCAUAAUUAUGUUUAUGUUCCAUGCUAUAACUGCAAUGAUUCUCGAGUCUGCAAUAUCCACGAGGCUCGGAGGAAGACUCAUAUGCACGUGUGGAAUAAUAAACGGUAAGAAGUAUUCCUAGUCUGGCCUCUAAGACUAGCUCAAGUGUUGCAUGAUGGUUCUGUUUUCCUGAUCAUGGGCAUGUCUAUGCCAGCAAUUUUGAGGGCACAAUGUUAAGAGAACAUUUGUGUUGAAUCGACCCGGAUUGAUGUUAUGCUAAGAGAUUCAUUCGUCACAAGUUAAUGGUUUAUAACACAGAGAUAGUUAAUGUUUGCAUAAUUCCUUAGACCAUGAGAGUAUCGAGUUUCUUCAUGCUUGCUUCAUGAACUUUGGGGUUUGUUAAACGUCAUCCGUAACUGGAUGGCUAUUACGGCGGCUUACGGGUUCAUGGGAAAGUAUGUUAAGUAACUUGAUAGCUCGAAAUUGGGAUUUGCUCCUCCGACGAUGGAGAGAUAUACUCGGGCCCACUCGGUGUUAUGGUGUCCAUCAUCGUCUGGCCAGACACUUUGUGAUUUGAUCACGGGGAUGCCGGAACACGAAACGAGAAAAGAGAACAAAACCGGUAACGAGGUAACUUGCGUAGUGGACAAAGUGUUGGCCCACGGGGAUGCAAUAAAUCUCACCUCAGGUGUUUGUGAUAUAUCGUGAAGCAACAGGAAUAGCUCACCUCAACUGGAGGUUCACUCGAAUAUUCAUUCGUGUGGGUAUAGGGGUCAAUAUGGGUGUCCACGGCUCCGAUGUUGAUCAUUGAUCGGAAGGGGUUCCAGGUCAUGUCUAUACUUCACCGAACCUAUAGGGUCACACGCUUAAGGGUCAUCUAUCUGCUGAAUACUAGACAGGGAGUCUAAGAGAAAAUCACCAAAAAAGUUUCGGACAGCGGAAUCGUACCGCAGAGAGAGGUCACCGGAUGAGUUUCGGUGAAACCGAAAAAGUUGUUUCGGGGUAUGCCAUUAAGUCAAAAUGGUUUUGGCACAUGCCUGAUAAUUCUUGGAGGGUGCCAGAAUCAUUCUGGAAACUUUUUGGAAUUUUCAGAAAUAAAAACCGAAAAUGUUUCGGAGCUGCCAGUACCGCUUUGGCUGUUUUUCGCAGAUGAAAUUCACUAAUCUGAAAUUGCUUCAGAACGAAUCCAAAAUCAUUUUAGUGGGUACUGGAAUUAUUCUAAGACCCACAGAAAUAUUUUCGGAUUUAGUGGACGUGAAAAAUUGUCUUCACGAAUAGUGAAAACGCAUUCUUGUUUGCUUUUCGCAGAUGAAAAUCACUAAACCGAAAUUGUUUCGGAACGCGUUGAAAAUUAUUUUAGUGGGUACUGGAAAUGUUCCGAGCCCACAUAAAUAUUUUCAGUUCGAACGGACGCUGAAAAAUGUCGUCAUGAAUAGUGAAAGUGCUUUUUUUCUUGGCUUCUUGGAGAAGCCACCUUGAGGGCCUUUUUGGUAUUUCCCCCCUUGGCUUCUUGGAGAAGACACCCUUGGGCUUGGCCUAUAAAUAGGGGUGGAGGGGGCUGCCUAAAGGAUCAUUCCUUCUCACAUACAAGUGCCAUGCAAUGAUCUGGCUUCUCUCUCCCUCCCCGCGAAAUAGUUUCGUAGAGCCGAAAGGCUGUCUGGGUUUCGGUAGGAACUAGUUCUGGACGGCGAAGCCCUGUCGGAUAGAUGACACCGUAUGUGUGCAACUCUGUAGAGAGAUCGUAGUUUCGGUCUUAGUUCGUGAGUGCCUCCCGAAGGGCUGUCCAUGUGACCGUCCGAGUUUCGAAGGUCCUCCCGAAGGGCUGUCCGAGUGACCGUUCGAGUUUUGAAGGUCCUCCCGAAGGGCUGUCCGCGACACCGUCCGGGGGGCUGUUUGACCGCCUCCCGGAGGGCUGUCUGAGGAGCAGAUGAGGGUAUACAUCCUCGCGGUUGGGAGGUUGUAAAUCCUAGCUGCGGGGAUCUGCACCACCGAUCGUCAUCGAAUCUACUUCCUGCUGCGCUACGAGUCGGUAACGAAACAGAUCAAACCAUGUAUGCAGUCUCCAUAGUGGUCCUGGGCUGGUGCGUAGGUCGGAAAAUUUUUGUUUUCUGCUGCGUUACCCUACACUAUAUAUACUACUAGCAGCACUACAGCAACAUUUUCUUUAUUUUGUUCUUUUAAAAAACAUCUAUGAAAACAAAAACCAUAAUUAAACCCUACUUCCCUAACUAAUUUUUUUCACUAAACCCUACUGCCCUAACUAAAUUUUUGCUCUAAACUAACUUUUAGCUCUAACCUAGCCAACCUAGUUAACCUAAUGAACCAAAUUAACCUAGCUAGUUCAGUUAGUUACUUAACCUACCUAGUUAACCUACUUAACCUAGCUAAUUCAUAGGGUUCAGAACUAAAUUCACCUAAGUAAAUUAACCUAGAGAGGAGGGGUGGGGGCUCACAGAGAGGGUGCUCGGGGGAACGGUUGCGGGGAGGUGCUCGAGGAAGAGGGUGGCGUGGAGGGCGUCGAGGGUGGCUCCGGUGGCGUCUACGGCGGCUCCAGUGACAGCGAGGGAGGCAGGGGCAUCGAGGGGCGGACGAGGGUGACUCCGGGGGCGUCGAGGGUGUGCGACGAUGGCGCGCGGCUCCGGUGGUGACGAUGGAGGCAGGGAAGGCGAGGGAGCAGGGGCGGUGAGGGAGAGAUAGGGUGAUGCGAGAAGAAUGGGGAAUUGAGGGAAGGAGGAACACCCAUGCAGGGGAAAGUCAAACUUAGUAGUAGCGCUUUUUCCUGACAAGCGCUAUAGCUACUUAGCUAUAGCGCUUUCUGACGGAACGUGCUACUUCUAUAGAUAAGUUAGCUAUAGCUCUUGUUCGUGAAAACGCGUUGCUGCUAUUGCUUGCAUUUUUUUCUUUUUCUUUAAUUUUCCUUUUCUUUUUUUUCUUUUCCUUUUGUCUUUUCUUUUCCUUUUCUUGGUUGCAGCACUGUCGCCUUAAAUCACGCUGCUACUAUUUUGUUAGCAGUAGCGCUGUCCUUAGAAGGGCGCUACUACUAUACCAAGCCUGGCAGCAAUGGUGUAACAGUUAUACUAGUAGCGCUUUUUAUGAAGGACGCACUACUGCUAUUUAUGUAGCAGUAGCAUGCUUUUUCAUACCGCGCUACUGUUAGAUAGUAGUACUGUCGUGUUUUAACAAGCGCUACUGAUAAGUCUCUGUGUAUAAGCAUUUCCCUAGUAGUGUAGCUUUGCAUGAUACCGGAGAACUAAAAUAUAAAAAUAGGUGUUGUUAUCAUAAAGUAAGAAUAUAUUACUAUAUAUUAUAAAAUAGCGAGUGUGGAAUAAUGAUGGAUCAUGUGCGGAAUUAUCCUAGGCAAUUGUUAACAAGAUCAAUAAUCAUUAUUGCUAUUGUACACGAGGGAGAGGCAUAAUCUAACAUACUUUCUCUACUUGGAUCAUAUGCACUUAUGAUUGGAACUCUAGCAAGCACCCGUUGUCGGUGUCAAAACCGGCGGAUCUCGGGUAGGGGGUUCCCAACUGUGCGUCUAGGAUCGAUGGUAACAGGAGACGAGGGACACGAUGUUUACCCAGGUUCGGGCCCUCUCUAUGGAGGUAAUACCCUACUUCCUGCUUGAUUGAUCUUGAUGAAUAUGAGUAUUACAAGAGUUGAUCUACCACGAGAUCGUAAUGGCUAAACCCUAGAAGUCUAACCUGUAUGACUAUGGUAAUGUGUAUCUCUGUCCUUUCCGGACUAUCCCCUCUGGUUUAUGUAGACACCGAGAGGAUCUAGGGUUUACAUAGAGUCGGUUACAUAAGAAGGAAUCUUCAUAAUUGGUCGCCAAGCUUGCCUUCCACGCCAAGUAGAGUCCAAUCCGGACACGGGUACAUUCUUCGGCCUUCAUGUCUUCGCAGCCCAUCAGUCCAGCCCAUGGAUAACAGGCCGGACGCCCGAGGACCCCUUAGUCCAGGACUCCCUCAGUAGCCCCUGAACCUGGCUUCAAUGACGAGGAGUCCGGCGCGCAGAUUUGUCUUCGGCAUUGCAAGGCGGGUUCCCUCCUUCUGAACUCCAGACAUAGUCUUCGGAUGAAGUAAGUAUAUCCAGACCUGUGUAUAUAAUUGCAGAGAAUACAAUGUCCCACGAGUCCAACUUGCUGAUAACUGUUCAUGACGUCGUAUCAUGCCUGCCCGGUUACUAUUUCCAACCAUCGGCUAGCGAGCCGCCCCAUGUCUUGGGGCGCGGUUUUAUUGGCACGUCUUGUCAAAGCAGAUAUCGUGUCCCCUUAUUUACGGGAUUUUCAUUAAUGUAGGCGUGGGUAACCCAACCGUCCCCUGGGUACAACUCCUUGGGGAUAGGUAAGUUUAGAGACCCAGAGGGAGACGCCCAGUAUUCGGGGUCUUUAUAUAGAGACCCAGUCUCGUCUUCUUCCUUUGCGCUUGCUCCUUCCUCAACCCCAGCCACCCCAAGUUCCAACCCUCGGGUUCCAAUCGCCACCAGCCCAAAUCAUGUCCGGAUCCAACCGUCAAGGCCGGUGGGUGGCUUCUUCUGUCACAGAGGAGGAUAUUGCGAAGCUCCGCGCAGCGAGGUAUCUAACCCCAGAAAUCCUUCAUCGGCUUCCUGCACAAGGGCAGGUUAUACCUACCCCCAGAUCUAGCGAGAGGGUAGUAUUUGUAUCUCACUUCCUCCACGGUCUAGGGUUCGCGCUUAACCCCUUCGUCCGGGGGCUCAUGUUCUACUAUGGGCUAGAUUUUCAUGAUCUGGCCCCGGACUCUUUUCUCCUCAUCUCGACAUUUAUCGUCACGUGUGAGGCCUUCCUCCGGACUCCUCCGCACUUUGGUUUGUGGAUCAAGACCUUCGACGAGAGGCCACAGGUGACAGAGGAGGAGCAGGCAGAGUGCGGCAGUGUCAUAAUAGGCAAGCUUGCCAGCGCGGUUUGGCCUGAAGGAUCUUUCGCCAAGUCUUCCGACCUAUGGCAGCAGGGGUGGUUUUAUAUCAACGAGCCACGGGGCUCCAAGUAGGCGGCUACGCCUGUGUUCCAACCCGGCCCUCCAAUUCAGAUUGCUUCAUGGAUCAAUAAGGGAUUGGACUGGGGAUCCGUCAAUGAAGUGCAGACUCUGCAAAGUCGCAUCCGAAGCCUUACCGAGAAGGGCAUCGAUCUUGUGAACGUCGUUCAAGUAAUGCUAGUCCGUCGGACCCUGCCAUGUCAGCGGCGGCCUCUCCGUAUGUGGGAGUUUAAUCCAGAAGGGUGGUGGAUUCUUCAGCACUUCUUCGGCACCACGCACGAAGGAAUGUGUAAAUUAUAUUUCGGGGAACGAGAGCAGUGGCCGGACACCACCGAAGAUGUCGGCCUUGACUGCAAUCAUCCGGACACUUUGGUAAGUAUUCAAUCUCCGAACACCUUCCAUUCAAGCAUCUCUUGACAAGAUACUGAACAAUCCGUCCCUAUACAGGACUGGAUAAAGAAAGCAGUGUUAAUCUGGUGUCCGGCGCCCCUUCCCGAAGACUCUGCGACCGCCCCGCUAACGAGAAUGCUGAUUCCGACACCAUACUAGGUGUCUGCAGAGGGGGCGAGAGCAGGCAGCCCAGAGGUGAUAACCGCCCUGAGGAUGAAUUAAACGCUGCGUUCGGGGAAACCGGAACCCUUUUGCCCAGGGGCAAAGGUGCAGAGGGAGCCCUCCAUGCCAAGAAAAGGGCCGCUUCCGAAGAUCAGGAGGGGAAGCCUUCCAAGAGAGGAAAAAUGCCAUCGUCGGGCACCUUGGGCCGGGCAAGCGAUGCUGCCAUAGGGCUUGAUGACGAGGACGAACCUCGAGGCAAACCGUAAGUGAAGCUGGGGCACUUUAAACGUACCUCAUUCCUUUCCUAUUAGUGAAGUAAUCAUCCGACAUAUGUACAUCCACGCAGGUUAACUUCUGUUGUUUCUCAAUCGUCCUCCUCCUCGGGAGAUCUUCUUCCGGAGAUGAUGGAGAGUGACACGCCUUCUCCGGCCUCUUCGCCCAACAGGGGGGAUGAUACCGAGGUAUCGUCCCGAAGGGCUCCUCCCGAUCGCCAAAUAGUGCGGGAAACGGAGAAGGCGUUACCCGAAGGUGGUGCCUCUGUCGCUCAGGGUUCGAGAAUCAAGAAUGACGGCCCCGAACCAUCCGGUUUACAUCCGGAAACGAUCCUGGAGGCGAGUAAGCGAAUUCCUUCAAAGGAAUGCCAUACUCCGGCGGUGGUUUCCGAAGACCCAGGAGCGCCGGAAAUGCUGACAGACAUGCUACGACGAGUGUCCAUUUCAGAGGAGCACCGUGCCUUGAUGGUUACGGUGGUCAAAAAGGUUCUAUCCACGAAAAGUGGAUUGAACAAGGCCUCACGAGCCUUCUAAGAGGUUUUGAGGUUUGUGAUGUAAUUUUGUCGAUUGAAUUUUAUUGACAGAAUGCACCUGUUGUAUAUGCAGUAGCCCCUGAGGCUCGGAUUGCCUUCUGAAGGAAGCGAUCGGAGGAUCAAAUGAUUUAUCUUGAAAUACAGGCUGCCUCCCCUCCUGUGGCUGCUCGAAAUACGGAAGUGGCCGAACUGCAGCGAAAGCUGGAUACUGCGGAGGAUGACAUUGCAUUGAUCAACAGGCGUCUUGACGACUCGCAAGGUAUAUAUUUCGAGCAUUCCUUACACCAAUGUGCUUGAAUCUCAAAAGAUUUUAUAUGAAAUGUGCAUGAAUGCAGAUGGUGCUGCCACCGUGGAAGCUCUUCGGGCGGAGCUAGUCCGGGCCAGGGAGCAGGCCCGGUUUAGUGAUGCUGCUGCUGAAAAGGCAUUGGCUGAAUUAAAGGCCGAACAAGCUGCGCGGUGUCAAGGCGAGGAGAAGAUAUCCACGAUGACACUCAAGCUGGAGAAUGCUACUGGCCGCUGCGAAUUUCUUGAGAAGGAGAAUAAAGCCUUGACGGCUAAACUGGACAAGGCCCGCCAGGAGGCGAGAGAAGCGCGAUCAGAAUUUAGAGCAAUCCGUGAGGAAGUUCGGCAGGCGAAGGAGAUUGUGGUUGGGAAGCCUUUUCUGCUGCAAACUAAGUUUAGUGACCCGGACUAUGCUCAACUUAACCAAGUGUGGAGUUCUCCGGACGAGUAUUUGGACUUGCCGAAGAGUUCUUCCGAUGCAGCGCGGUAUUACCAAGCGCGAGAUGGAUAUGCAACGGAGAAGCUUUUUUGGUCGCAGUUUGGCGCGUCAAAUCGUCCUCUGCUGCUCAAUGAACAGAUGUCCCAAUGGGCCGAACUUCAUAGGGUAUCUGGCGCUGCCAUGAAGGAUGUCAUAAUCCGGCUGUGGCCAACCAAGCCUGCGCCGAAUAGCUAUUUUGGUUUGGUGCAGAAGCUUGUCGACGCGGUGCCGCGAAUCGAUGCUGCGAAGCGAUCGGCGUGCAUUGAAGGUGCACGUAUAGCCUUUGCCCGAGUCAAGACAUUCUGGGGAAAGAUGAAGGCCAUCGACGUCGCGACGAAGGGUCCGCCCAAAGGCAAGGACCGUCCGGAACCGGAGCAUUAUUUUGAAGACGUCCUGGAGGCCGCCCGCUUGAUAGAGGGUCAAUGCUCGAAAAACAUAAUGUUCGAGUGAGGUGUAUGAUGAUUGUAAAAGAUAACUUUAUAGUUAAUCUAUUUAUGUUUUGCUCGAAAGCUUGAAUUCCUCCUGUGCGGCCGUUUUAAUAUAAUCUGAAAGCUUUCCAGUCGUCGGCUUCAGCCCCCUCGUAGGAAGUACGGGGGUGUUUGGAAAAGCAUUUAAUCACUCUUUAUCCAACGUCUUGGUCCAUGAGGGAGGUGAUAAUGCGGCGAACCAGGCAAUCGGACUAUAAGGCGUUAACACUUUCACUUAGCCAUAGGAGUUCUAUGGUGGGGCUACGACAUAGCCCCUGGUAUGUGUGCAGCGUAUGGUGCCUUGCAUAUCUGAUCUGAAAAAGAUCCCUCGUGUUACACGGAGAAUCGCUAAAGAUUCCAAUAAGUCGUCAAGUGGUUGACCAGCUCUCGCCGCAUCAUGACAGUCAGUUUUCGGCUUUCUCUACUGAGGUGCUCAUCCGGUUUAGUCCAGGGCACAAUCACAGUAGUUCUCCCUUUACUACCCUAGCCGAUAGAGCAAAACGUAGGGUAGCAAGCACAGGAGCCGGGCAACCCAGCUAUUGACCCAAGACAAUGAUUCGGAGCUGAUGCAUAUAAGGCCAAACUUGCGACGCCGAAGUACGCUAUAGAGUUGUUAGGACUUUUACUGGCAACUCAUUCGUUCCCAUACCGAGCCCCUGGCAGGGUAUGCCGAGGUGCAUCUGUAAAGCAGUCGUUGAGGCCGUACUUAUUGUUGAAAGAGUAUGAAAGAUUAGUUCGGAUGAUCUUUACUGGGGACGGAGCAAUAUGCCAAUGAUAAAUUUAUGUAUGUAUAUAUAUAUAAAGAAACCACAGACCCGGCUAUUUGACAUGCUCGGGGUCGGUAUCAGAGGAAAAAAGGGCAUAGUACAGGCUCGGAAUAAAGAGUACGCUCUACAAAAAGUUAUUUUGGACCUCCUAUUGCACGUCUGCGCCGCCCGUCCUCGGGGAGGGGAAUCCUUAACGGAAAUAGCCCCUUAGGUGAGUGUACGGAUCCGAACUCCGAUAGAGUCCGCUGUAGAUGUUGUCCGGUUGGUCACCUGUUCUUAAGAGAUGAUACAGAAAAAUAAGGAAAACAGAUAAAAAAACAUUACGGGAAUGCUUGCAGGGUUGUCCGUAUUGUGCUUCCGCCGAUGCCCAUGGUAUCUUGAGUGCGUAGUGAUGUACGCGUGGUGUAAAUUUUGCCCGUACAGUAGGUGGGUGGCGGAAGCCGAACUGCUAUUUCCGUUCCGGGAGUGGUCGAACUUCAGAGGCAAACUGUUUCUCGCCCCUGGUGUUCAGCUGGCGAGCCAAUCCGUCGUCUUUAUCGCCUGGUGGCCUCCUCCCCUUGUGAUCGGCGUUGAGCUUGCCUGCCUGCUUGAGGACCCAACAGUUUCUGUUGGUAUGAUUAGCUGGCCUAUCAGGGUGACCGUGAAUCUGACAAGGUCGGUCCAAUAUCCUGUCAAGGGUGGAUGGUCCAUCCUGGUUUGCCUUUAGUGGCUUCUUCCGUUGACCGGGCUUCGGAUUAUGAAAUCCGGCGUUCACCGCUGUGUUGCGUAUAUUACUGCGACUGUUGUGUUCGGUUCGUUGUGGCUUACCAUUGCCGUCUCGGAUUUCGGAAGUGCCCGGGUCACUGGCGUUGUUGCUUUUACGAGCGAGCCAGUUGUCUUCUCCCGCGCAAAAGCGAGUCAUUGUAGCGGUAAGGGCUGUCAUGGAUUUGGGUCCUUCCUGGCCGAGGUGACGCGCUAGCCAUUCAUCUUGGAUGCUAUGUUUGAAGGCCGCAAGGGCUUCUGCGUCCGGACAGUCAACAAUUUGGUUCUUUUUGACUAAGAACCUAGUCCAGAGCUCCCUGGCUGACUCGCCGGGCUCCUGGACAAUGUGCCUUAAGUCAUCGGCAUCUAAUGGCCGGACGUAUGUUCCUUGGAAGUUGUCUCGAAAGGCGUCUUCCAAAUCUUCCCAGUUGCCAAUAGAGUUUUCUGGCAAACUAUUUAGCCACUACCGAGCUGGCCUUUUAAGCUUGAGAGGUAGGUAUUUAAUGGUGUGAAGGUCGUCUCCGCGAGCCAUGUGAAUAUGGAGGAGGUAAUCCUCAAUCCAUACCGCGGGAUCUGUUGUUCCAUCGUAUGAUUCGAUGUUGAUGGGUUUAAACCCGUCUGGAAAUUCAUGCUCCAUUACUUCGUCAGUGAAGCAGAGAGAGUGUGCGGCUCCUCAAUGUUGGGCCACACUAUGAAGCACCUCUGGCGGGCUCCAUUUACGGUGCUUGGACUGGGCAUGGUCGGCUCUGUAGUGUCCGAAUAGGUGACCAUCAUCGUCGGUCGGGGUAUAUCUCCGUGAUCCGUACAUCGAUCUUGUGCGUACUGCUCUACCCUCCAGGUCUUGGUUGAUGUCGCGAGUGUUCCCCCGAGCUGUUUUGUUUUUACGGCCGGAUGGGGUGGUAUGGUGGUCUGCUUGGGCUGCUGCUUUAUCCGGACCAAACUGUGGUCGACCUACCGCAUUAUUCGAUGGUGGUAUGGGCUCUAGCGCCCUGCCAUCGUGUUGAGGGAGCCACCUGCACUUGGGAUGGCUUUUGUCUAGGCCGUUAAGGCCGUAUUCUUCGGCGGCUAGGACCUCGGCCCAUCUAUCAUUGAGCAAAUCUUGGCUUGCUUGAAGCUGCAGCUGCUUCUUCCUUAGACUCCUUGCCGUGGCUAUUAGCUGGCAUUUAAAGCGCUCCUGCUCGAGAGGUUCCUCGGGCACGAUGAAAUCCUCGUUGCCGAGGCUCUCCUUUUCCUCGGAGAGUGGGGGAUAAUUACUAUCCUCCGAGUCUCCAUAUAUGACCUGUUCAUCGGGGCUAUCUUGCCCGCUUUCUUGUUCCUCAUGUUCGGGUCCUGCCUCAUCAGGGUCCUUGCUGUCCGGAGUGUUAUCAUCUCCGGUGCCGGUGCUGUUUUCUCUUGAGCGACGUGACCGAGAGUGGUGCCGGGGGCGCCAAUGUUCGGACUGUGUGCCGGGAGGUUUAUCCUUGACUGGAUCUUUCUUGUCAUCGUCGAGAUCGUUGUUAGGUGUGUCUACCAUACAUACGUCAUACCAGGAAGUGGCUGUCCCGCGUCUAGCGGAUGGUAAGUCCUGGUCUUGCCCCUCGUCGUCGUCCAUACCAUUGAUGUCUUCGAAGCAGGUGUCCGGCGUGUUGUUGGGUCUUCGACCGUGGCUAUGAAGUGGGUGGCGGGUGGGAGGCAAAACUCCCCAUCGUCCGCCGUAAGUUUGAACCGAAUAUAGUUCGGUGGCGAGUCACCUGCCAGGGAUAGGUUUUUUAGUGAAUUUAGUACGUCGCCCAUGGGCGAGUGUUGGAAUACGUUUGCGGCGCUGAACAUGAAGAUCAAUAACCGCUCGAGUUCGGUAUCCGUGGACAUGCAGGGUUCGGAACUUGUCGCCGGAAACGAGUCCGGGGUCCCGUUGAUGCCGAUAUCGUAUGAAGUGAAAUCUAUGUGCGGCUCCGACGCCGCGGGAUCAGCAGCCUCCGUGAUGGGGUUGAGUGUCCCAUCUUCGGAUGACUCAAUCUGCUCCAGAUCUAAGGCCGGAGUUGUUGCAGGAGCUAUCUCCUGGAUGGGGCCCGAUGACAGGAUUAAGCCAUGCUCGUCGGGGUGAAGGGGAGCAGUGGCGCGGUCUCAAAUCCUUUGAAGACCAAGUCUCCACGGAUGUCCGCGACGUAGUUCAAGCUUCCGAAUCUGACCUGAUGGCCGGGGGCGUAGCUGUCGAUCUGCUCCAAAAGGCCAAGUACGAAGCCGCCGAAUAUGAAGAUUUGUCCAGGGAGGAAGGUUCCCCCUUGGACAGCGUCAUUGUCGAUGAUUGAAGGGGCCAUCGAACCUUUCGUCGACGGCACAAUGGAACUCUCAAUGAAAGCACCAAUGUCGGUGUCAAAACCGGCGGAUCUCGGGUAGGGGGUUCCGAACUAUGCGUCUAGGAUCAAUGGUAACAGGAGAUGGGGGACACGAUGUUUACCCAGGUUCGGGCCCUCUCUAUGCAGGUAAUACCAUACUUCCUGCUUGAUUGAUCUUGAUGAAUAUGAGUAUUACAAGAGUUGAUCUACCACGAGAUCGUAAUGGCUAAACCCUAGAAGUCUAACCUGUAUGACUAUGGUAAUGUGUAUCUUUGUCCUUUCCGGACUAUCCCCUCUGGUUUAUAUAGACACCGAGAGGAUCUAGGGUUUACAUAGAGUCAGUUACAUAAGAAGGAAUCUUCAUAAUUGGUUGCCAAGCUUGCCUUCCAUGCCAAGUAGAGUCCAAUCCGGACACGGCUACAUUCUUCGGCCUUCAUGUCUUCGCAGCCCAUCAGUCCGGCCCAUGGAUAACAGGCCGGACGCCCGAGGACCCCGUAAUCUAGGACUCCCUCACCCGCAACUACUAAAGAUCAUUAUGGUAAAACCCAACCAUAGCAUUAAAGUAUCAAGUCCCCUUUAUCCCAUGCGCAACAACCCCCUUACUGGGGUUAAAGCUUAUGUCACUCUAGCAACCCACUAUAAGCGAAUCAUGAACGUAUUGCAACACCCUAUAGCGGGAAUCCUUCACGUGUGUGUGGCACGGAAGGCACCAUAGGACAGCACCAAAAUAAAACAUACAACUCAAACCAAUCUAGAUCAUCAAUCAACCCAAAAGACAAAAGAAAUCUACUCAAAACAUCAUAGGAUGGCAACACAUCAUUGGAUCAUAAUAUGUGGCAUAAAGCACCGUGUUCAAGUAGGGGAUUACAGCGGGGUGCGGGAGAGUGGACCGCUUAAAAGAGAUGAUGAAGGUGAUGAAGAAGGUGAUGUUGAUGAAGAUGAUCACCGCGGCGAUGGUUCCCCCGACGGCACUCCACCGCCACCGAAAGAGAGGGGGAGAGGGUCUCCCCCUUGUGCUUCCUCCUCCAUGGCCUCCCCCCCCCCCCUAGAUGGGGAGAGGUUCUCCCUCUGGUCCUUGGCCUCCAUGGUGAUGAUGGCCCCCUCCGGAUUCCUCCUCCAUGGCCUCUGGUGAUGAUGGCCCCCUCUGACAGGGUCCCAGAGAGGGACUAGAUUUAUUUUUCGUGGGUACAGAGGCUUGCGGCGGCUGAACUUCUGAUCUAGGGUUCUUUUCGGAGGUUUGGGCAUUUAUAAGAAUUUUUGGCGUCAGUCUCACGUCAAGGGGGUGCCCGAGGAGCCCACAAGCCGUAGGGGCGCCCCCUGACGGCUUCUGGCCAACUCGUUCACUUCCUGGCACAGCUACGGUGCUUCGGGGGCCUCUUUUGGUCCAUAAAAAAUCACCGUAAAUUUUCAGCCCAUUCCGAGAACUUUUAUUUCUGCACAAAAAAUGACACCACGGUAGUUCUGCUAAAAACAGCGUCAGUCCGGGUUAGUUCUAAUCAAAUCACACCAAAACCAUCUAAAAUUGUUGUAAACAUGGCAUGAAUACUUCAUAAAUUAUAGUUACGUUGGAGAUGUAUCAGAUCCCUAAUCGCAAACAGAUCAUCUAAGUAAACUGUAUGUCCAAUAUUGCACACACCUUGAUCUGGCUGACCGUUCCUGUUUUUCUGGCUCAUCACAAACAGUUCGUAUGGAUCAACUGUAUGACAUGUAUCACACACGCAACUCUAAUCUGAAUCGUUCUUGAUGUCUCCGCCAUCGCACAUAGUUCGUCUUAUUGGUGACGGCUUUAUUACAACAAUGUUUGCGGUUAAUGCAUCACCCACAGUUUGGUCGAAGGGUCUAUGAUUCACGUGUUGCGUUAGCAGCUAGCAGCAUCCUGCAAUAGUGAUAGAAAGAACUUAUUGUAAUCUCCUCGUGGAGCUAUUUGUUCCAAAUUGAUGUGCUAAUUUGUAUUGUGGUUAAUAUGAAAAAUUGAUCCAUAAUAAUGUGGGGAUGUAUGUGAUAUCUUUGUGUUUUCAUCUAGUAUCUAGUAUUUUUCUUAGUACAUUGUUCAACAAAGUAUCACGAUUUCCACAAUAACGUGAAAACAGUUGAGAUGCAUGACUACAUUGCUCACACUUUGCGUGAAAUCUUCCAAAGCUUUCAAGAGGAAAGGAACUUUGCGUAAAUAUAAACAACUAUACAGUUUCUUUGCUAUAGACUAAUAUGGAACCUGGGAGUGGUCAUAUCCAAGUAAGAGACGAUGGAGUUGAACUUUGAAGAAAUUUCCUUAUACAGAUAUGCAUGAAUUGAAAGGAGAUGUCACAGCUUUACUCUAUUUUCACACUUUCAUAAGAUGGAAAUUGCCUCAUACAUCCAUGCCUAGAUGGAAAGGAAGGCGCUCCCUCUUAAAAGUGUGAAAUUCAUCGACGCAAGAAAAGUCAACCUUUUCUAGGGAGAGGUACAGAUCUCAAAGCAAACAAUAAUCUAGAAAUACCAAUACACAAACACAAACUUAGAUAAAAAUUAUCAUAUUGACAACUACCGAGGUCAACCUGAUCUCCACCACCCACCCGGUUCUGAAGUUUUGGGAGAUUAAUACUGGAAAUUAACGGAAGAGAGAAACACGACACGUGUCACUAUGUUAGGGGGGCACACACCCAACACGCACCCCACUCCAUCGCUCCAUACCCAUCCGCACCUCAUACGCUCCCCUCCACCUUUCUGAUCCAGAUCCAACCACCUCACCCGAGAGCUACACAGAGCAGGCCCCUCUCUCGGCGGUCACACCCUCCCAUUCGUCGACGCUCUCUCCUCCCUGCCGGGCAGAUCCCCUCCCCCACGUCCACAUCCUCCAUCACCAACCUACCUCCCCGCCAGCGAGUAGGCUGAGCAGUGUACUCCAUGGCCAGAGUCACUUCCCAGUUGUCAUCAACCAGGGCAGACCUGAUGGCGACCUCACCGGAUCUAGAAUCAACAACGCCCACCAGUCCAUUCGACCGUAGUUUCCUCCCCCGCUCCUCCCCCAACCAGAUCUAACACCGCAAUCAUCAUUCCCUUCCUAGAUCUAUGUGUGGUCUCGACCAGCCUGUGCGUCCUCUGCGUCAGCUGGAUCAUGGCCAUGUCAUAAAUGGGGAGAUCAACAAGAUCCUAACGAUAUGCUCCUCCCCGGGGUCAGAUCCCAGCACUCCAUGGCUCGUUGUGGCUGGAUCUAUCCAUGGGUUCCUACAACAGCAAUGACGAGGAAACCCGCAUCACCUUCUAGGCUCCAAGUUGCUGCCACCGCUCAUCUCCCUUCCCUACGGUGGUACUCGCUAGUUUGCAUACCUCGUCUCCUGGUAAGCUCCGAGGAGGAGGCGAUGCCUCAUCUGCUAUAACCGCGACCGCCUAUUUCAACCUCAACCGUUGGGGAUCUACGACAUCGACGGAAGGUGUACCUCUACUCGUGUGCCUUUUGUGUGUACUAUGAGCAAUUUUGUGAUAUGAAUGUGUAUACCGUUUGCUACAUUAUGAUCCCUUUUCUUAUUAUGGGCAAGAUCUUAACUGGAUCAUGCAUAACACUUACCUUGUGCAUGUUACCUUUCCUGAUGCCUGUAUAUUCAAAUUUGUAACUUUUAGAGCUUUGUGUUGAUGCAUCCUUAGAAAUUUGUAGUAUGUUCAUGGUUUCUUACUGACCUUUUAGUGUUCUUAACUACAAGAAACAUUGUUUUCACUUCAUUUUUUAGUACCUUGUGCUUUAAGAUCUUGUAGAUUACUUUGGCACUCUAUAACACUUUCGAGCACCUUGUAAAUUAAUUUGGCACCUUGUGCUUUACAGAUUUUGUUAGUUUUAGCACCAUGUAAGUAAUUUUGCACUUUAUUGAUACUUUCCUAGAUACUAGUCGAACUUUGAUGAUGUGUGUAUAUAUGCAAUUCCAUACAUCUAGUAAUUUGGCACUGUCUUGCUAACUGGCAUAUUCUAUAUGUGUCCAAAAGUGUGAACUUUUAUUGAUCAUAUAUAUGUGGUAAAUGGUUAUGUUUUUACAAUUAGGAUUCGCCGACGAUAGUAAAUAUGGUAACCAUGACAGCUAGCUCGCCUCUAGCUAUGCAUUAAGCGGUGCUCUCGAUCCAGUACCUUUGUAUAUGAUCCAACACUUUCUUGUAAUUCUGCGCCUUCUAUUUAACACCUUUGUAUAUGUGUUGGCACUUGGUAUCAUCUCAACACUUUAUCAUCUGUGUACUAGCACUUUAUGUAUUGGCACUUUGUAUUAUCUCAAGACUUUAUCAUUUGAACAAACACUUUGUGUAUUGCAACUUUAAAUCAUCUAUUGUACAUAAUUUCAUGUAAUUUGGAACUUUGUUUUGUGGAAGCACUUUGGAAUUUGGCAUAUUGUAAUAUGAAAUUAUUGUGAUUAUAAAUGGCACUUUGUGAUUGUUGUAUAACCACACACUUUAUGUAUGAGGUGUGUAUGAGAGAGUUCCCACGCGUACUCCUGCACAUGUAUGAAUUGUAAUUGGAACUUUUGUAAAUGGCACUUUCCUAUUUUGUGUGCUCAGAAAAUACUAUUUUCAUAAUUACAUGGGUUCCAAUGAUUUUAGUUAAUGAUGGUUAAUUCAGAAACAUGUAUUAACUUUUGUUAUUAAGUGUAAUGUUUGUCGCAGGCACCAUUUAAAUUUCAAGUGAGUUGGAUGACAGUAGUACCCGUCUGGGUGACAAUAGUACUACUGGUAGUCUGACAGUUGUACUAGUGCCAGGUGAUAAGAAUACUAGUGGUGUACAUGACAUAGACGAUUUGAUGAAUUUAUGUUGCAAAAUGGGAAUGGCUCUAGAGAUCUCGAAGAAACAUGUAUGGUUUUGAUAGGCUCAACUUGGGUAAUGGUUGCUAGCAUUAUUUUUCCCACGGACAUAUACAUAUAUGUAUACGCUUUCAAGUCUUUGGUCACGCAAAUACAAGAAUGACAAAUUCUUUAUAACCAAUCAUGGUUCGGUGCAUACGCUUAUUCUCCAAAUGGUAACAUAGUGCAACCUUGACUCAUAUAUAUAAAUCCGGGAUGUUAUAUUGUUUCUUCUCACCACUGGAUGUACGAGCCCUUUUAUUCUUGGAUAGGGAGACAUCAGUAUUGUUGUUAGACAGGAACACAUCAGUGAGGACAGUAUUGGAAUUCAUUGAAGCCUUGAGAAUAUCGAGCGCCUGCAAAUAGAUUAAUUCAACAUAUCAACAUAAGAAACAAUUCAUAAGUGCUUGAAUAAUUCAGCGAGUCUCACCUCUUUGUUACCAAUCUUCACAGACUUCUCCUCGAGCACGAGGUCCUUUUGUUCCCUAUUGAGCUUGGUUAUCAGCACCACCGCGGAUAUGUUGGACAUGGGGGUGAUCGUGAGGUCAUCCAUGAUAGUGUAAGUAACCAGGCCUUGCACGUGCCCGCCGCCGGCUAUGAUAGACCCAUAGAGAGAGGAGUCACGUGCAACAUCUGCCGCCAUGCCCGUAGGCGCCAGC
rnacentral:lncRNA from 1 species